ACCCGGAAGGCGCGGGCCUUAGUGGCGGACGGGUGAGUAACGCGUGGGGAACCUGCCCCGUACCGGGGGAUAACACCUGGAAACAGGUGCUAAUACCGCAUAACAGAAGGGGACGCAUGUUUCUUUCUUGAAAACUCCGGUGGUACGGGAUGGACCCGCGUCUGAUUAGCUGGUUGGCGGGGUAACGGCCCACCAAGGCGACGAUCAGUAGCCGGCCUGAGAGGGCGGACGGCCACAUUGGGACUGAGACACGGCCCAGACUCCUACGGAAGGCAGCAG
rnacentral:rRNA from 1 species